GUGCUCUCUUCAGCAGCACAUAUACUACAAUCGGAAUGAUCCAGAGAAGAUUAGCAUGGCUCCUGCGCAAGGAUGACAUGCAAAUUUGUGAAGUGUUCCAUAAAAAA